GACAGAGGAUGCAAGCGUUAUCCGGAAUGAUUGGGCGUAAAGCGUCUGUAGGUGGCUUUUUAAGUCUGCCGUCAAAUCCCAGGGCUUAACCCUGGACAGGCGGUGGAAACUACCAAGCUGGAGUACGGUAGGGGCAGAGGGAAUUUCCGGUGGAGCGGUGAAAUGCGUAGAGAUCGGAAAGAACACCAACAGCGAAAGCACUCUGCUGGGCCGACACUGACACUGAGACACGAAGGCCAGGGGAGCAAACGGG
rnacentral:rRNA from 1 species